rnacentral:rRNA from 1 species
UACGAAGGGGGCUAGCGUUGCUCGGAAUUACUGGGCGUAAAGGGAGCGUAGGCGGACUGUUUAGUCAGAGGUGAAAGCCCAGGGCUCAACCUUGGAAUUGCCUUUGAUACUGGCAGUCUUGAGUACGGAAGAGGUAUGUGGAACUCCGAGUGUAGAGGUGAAAUUCGUAGAUAUUCGGAAGAACACCAGUGGCGAAGGCGACAUACUGGUCCGUUACUGACGCUGAGGCUCGAAAGCGUGGGGAGCAAACAGGAUUAGAAACCCCAGUAGUCC